GACGAACGCUGGCGGCGUGCUUAACACAUGCAAGUCGAACGGAAAGGCCCUGCUUUUGUGGGGUGCUCGAGUGGCGAACGGGUGAGUAACACGUGAGUCACCUGCCCUUGACUUUGGGAUAACUUCAGGAAACUGGGGCUAAUACCGGAUAGGAGCUCCUGCUGCAUGGUGGGGGUUGGAAAGUUUCGGCGGUUGGGGAUGGACUCGCGGCUUAUCAGCUUGUUGGUGGGGUAGUGGCUUACCAAGGCUUUGACGGGUAGCCGGCCUGAGAGGGUGGACGGCCACAUUGGGACUGAGAGACGGCCCAGACUCCUACGUGAGGCAGAAGUGGGGAAUAUUGCACAAUGGGGGGAAGCCUGAUGCAGCAACGCCGCGUGCGGGAUGACGGCCUUCGGGUUGUAAACCGCUUUCGCCUGUGACGAAGCUGGAGUGACGGUAAUGGGUAAAGAAGCACCGGCUAACUACGUG
rnacentral:rRNA from 1 species